ACGGGUGAGUAAUACAUCGGAACGUGCCCGAUCGUGGGGGAUAACGGAGCGAAAGCUUUGCUAAUACCGCAUACGAUCUACGGAUGAAAGCAGGGGACCGCAAGGCCUUGCGCGGACGGAGCGGCCGAUGGCAGAUUAGGUAGUUGGUGGGAUAAAAGCUUACCAAGCCGACGAUCUGUAGCUGGUCUGAGAGGACGACCAGCCACACUGGGACUGAGACACGGCCCAGACUCCUACGGGAGGCAGCAGUGGGGAAUUUUGGACAAUGGGCGAAAGCCUGAUCCAGCCAUGCCGCGUGCAGGAUGAAGGCCUUCGGGUUGUAAACUGCUUUUGUACGGAACGAAAAGCCUCUUUCUAAUAAAGAGGGGUCAUGACGGUACCGUAAGAAUAAGCACCGGCUAACUACGUGCCAGCAGCCGCGGUAAUACGUAGGGUGCGAGCGUUAAUCGGAAUUACUGGGCGUAAAGCGUGCGCAGGCGGUGAUGUAAGACAGAUGUGAAAUCCCCGGGCUCAACCUGGGAACUGCAUUUGUGACUGCAUCGCUGGAGUGCGGCAGA
rnacentral:rRNA from 1 species